AUCUGCUUGAAAGACCCCCAUUGGGAGACCCCCACUCAAGUCUCAGGAUGGCGCACACCCAAGGAAACACGAAAGACG
rnacentral:pre_miRNA from 7 species